rnacentral:lncRNA from 1 species
AGCUGCCUUGACUGAGUAAGUCAGAGAAGGCUUCCUGGAGGAGAGCGAAGGGUGUGGGGCUGGGUUGAGAUACAGGAAGAUCUGGGUUUGAAUUAUAGUUUGGCUGCUUCCUAGCUGUUUGAUCUUGGACAAAACUUUCAUUCAUUCUAUAUUUUUUGGAGUGUCUACUCCAUGCCAAUCAUGUGUGAAAUGUUGGGAUAACAAAGGCGAAUUCAAUCUGGCUCUCGUCCUCGGAGCUUAAGCAAAUCAUCUGGGGUAGCGUGACCCAUGCUACGAUGGAGGUGGAAUACGGGGCUGCAGGGCGGGGCCACAGGACAUAGUGGGCAGCUUAACCUCCUUGAGCCUCCCUAUCCCUAAUUCACGUGAUGGGGUUUGUAACCACUUCUCACAUCGUUGAGAGAAAAGGGUGAGCCUGACUCAGAGGUGUGGCAAAGGAAGGGCAGGGCAGGCUUUAAGGACAGGGACAGGGCUGUCAGAGGCUGAGGCUAGGGAGGGGCAGGAAGGGGUGUGAGGCAGGGCGGAAGAGAGCAGGGCCCUGGGCAGGUGCUGAGCCAGGUCCUGCAGGUCACCCAGUCGCUUGAGUCCACGAAUGCUGGAGGCAGGCACUGGAGAGCCAGGGUGGUUCAGCCGCAGCUCCUCUGAGCAGGGAGUCAAACAGGGCUGAAACAGACACCAGCUCUCCAGGACCAGCUGGUAAGAGCUUCUCCACUGCCCCCGAGCCCUGACAGGAGGACUCCCACAGUGUGCAUGGAAGCCCAGGGAGCUCGGGGGCUACAGAGGCACCAUUGGCUCUGGAGCCUGCAGCCCAGACAGCCCCCUCCAGAUGUAAUGGGGGAAGGAGCCAGGGACUGGGAGGAAUUCAGAGGUCAGAGGAGGAGCAGUAUCAGGAGAUACUGCCCUCCUGCAACUCCUCCUCCCAGCUGCUCUCCCCUCCUGCUAGUGCCCACAAUGGCUCCCAGCUGCCUCCUAUAAGGAAGCUUUAUUAGCCUGCAGCCUGUACUCCUCCACGCAGCAGAGCUGACAGGACCCCAUUAGUCAGCUUAUUCAACCCUUCCCCUGGUGCACAAACCCUUGCCAAGCUUUUCUGGCAUUUUGCUCAGCCUGCUUGGACCCUCCAAGCAGGUAGGAACUCACUGUUUCACAAAGCAGUGUUAUUAGAAAGGUUUCCCUGACCCUAGCCCCCCACAUCUAAUCUUUCUCAAAUGUGGGCAGACUUGUUCCUGGCCCCUUCUCAUUCCACCAGUGCACACAUGCACAUGCUCCCUCUCUCCAUCCAAGCUCCAGGAAUCAACCUCUACCCUGAACCAGGUCCCUGAGGACCACCACGUGGCUGCAACACAGCAGGUGUGGGGCAGGGCACAAGUGGGCUUAAGGGGGGUAUAAGGGCUGGCAGUUUGCUCAUUGAUUCACUCAACAAACAUGUACUGAGCACCUCUAAAGGGCCAGGGCCUGUGCUAGGCACUGCGGUGCCAUGGUGAGCAAAUCCAGAAAUGGACCCUGCCCUCUAGGAGUUCACAGUCCAGAGGAGAAGCCCGAUGCUGAACAGAGAAUCACAUCCGUGAGCAACACAAAAGGCAAGGCAAACCCUGGGCAGAUGCCCCCGGGACUGUGUGUUAUGGGCCUACAGGAAGCCUCUCCCAAUGAAAAAGCAAUUUUUCAGCCAGAACCUCCACCAGUGUCUUUCAAACUGUGAGUGGCAACCCAUUUGUGGGUCAUAAAAUCAAUUUAGUAGUUGUGACCUGAAUUACUUGUUAGUGAAAUAGAGAGGAAUUUACAACAUCACACUUAGGAAAUACUGUUUUGUGAAAUGUUAGUUUCAGUUAUCUAUCUAUCUAUCUGUCUGUCUGAGAGAUCAUGUUUAUUAGUUAAGAUAUUAAAUGUAUUUCUUACUGCAGGUCUCAAUCAAAAACCUCUGAAAGCCACUGGCCUAGAGUUAGAGGAAGAGUUAGCCAUGAGAAAUGGUGGUGACACAGGUUCCAAAAGAAGAAACAAUAGGUAUCAGGCUCAGAGAUGAAAGGGCUAGAAGGAGGACACACCAAGUUCAAGGUCUGGCCUUUCUCGAGGGCAGUGGGGAGCCAUGGGAGGUUAGCAAGAUCCCAUCUUCUUCAUCCCUGGGCCUCACCCCAUGGGCAGGAGGGAAAUGGCAGGAAGUUGUCUUUGUGUCUCCCCAGGAGCCUGGACCUGUGGCCUUCCCUGCCUCCACCUGGGCCUCAACCGUCACGACCACCUGGCCUUUGAGGUAGGGUUUGGAGAAGGAAGUCAGCCUAUUAUCAGGAGAAGGCUUGAAUUUCUAUAUUCAUAGCUUGUUUCUGUCACUUACUAGCCUUGUGAUCAUGGGCAACUUGUCUAAUCUCUGUCCCUCAGUUUCCUCCUUUGUAAAAUAGGUCUCAUAGAACUCAUCCCCAAAAGUCCUUGUGAAGAUUUAGUUUGUAAGCCAGAUGUCUGCAGACCUCCAGUAAAAGAAUAUGUUUUUGGUAUUAGUAUGUAUGUCCCAAAUAUUGCUUGGAAUAUGCUUAUACAAACAAAAAUCAUUUGUUUUUUAUCUGAAAUUCAAAUUUACCUGGAUGUCCUGUAUUUUAUCUGGAAACCCUACACAGAAAUCAAAUGGCUCACGCUGUGUCUCAGAGCUGCAACGAUCCAACGCCCUCCAUCCUUCAGAGGCUGUCUGAGUCCGGGGACACAACUCCCACCCUCCUCUCCUGCCAGCCGCGGCCCGUGGCUGCUCUCUUCACUUCGUCCCGCUUCGCCCCGACUGUGGAUCUACCCGCUCCCUUCUCCCUCAGUCCCCAAAGCACCAGACUCACAGGCCUGCUGUGUGACCCACUUUUACCGACCUUUCGGGGAGAGUAGAGGGCAUUUGUGACUCAGCUCAGAGCAGGAAACACAUCUCACGUCAACUGUCAGACAGCGCUGCUCCGAAUCCCAUCACAGUGCUCCAGCAGGGGGCGUCCUCACCGGCCGCGGCCACAGCCACGGCUCAACCCGGCCUAGCUCCCAGACACCCUCCUUCCACCGCCUGUUUUCCACCGUCCCCGCCUGCUCUUUCAAGCCAGCAGCAAACAACACCCUAAUCCGUGUCUUUAUUAUUCAAAGACCUUAAGCACUCUUUCCCACCUCGUUCCCAUCUUGAUUAUUUCAGGGAAUGAAUUAGGGAUUCACCUUUACAAUCAAAAAAGUUCUCUCAAAGCCAGGCUACUGGAGUUCUAAUUCUGCCUUCCCACUUUUACUAGCUGUGAAAUCUCAGGAAAGUUACUUAACCUCUCUCUGUCUCAUUUUCCUCAUCUUUAAAAAACAGGAUGAUAAUAUUUAGCUCCUAAGAUGGUUGUGAGGAUUUAAGUGAGCUGAUAUAUCCAAGAAUGUCUAGAACAGCGCGUGGCAGAAUGGGCAUUGCAUAUGGGUUUAAUCUUGUAACUGCCAUGUUUCACCAAUUCUAAGGUGUAUCUCGUUUCUCAUCAUAAGAGCUCUUCCGCUCGUGUGGCAGCUGGGAGUGGCCGUCAUUGCCUGCGCAUACCUAAACUUGGUCAGCAGCCAAGUGUUUUGUGAGACCUAAGAAAGGAAGAGCCCCAUAAGUAAAUGGAACUGUUGUGUUGUUUUAUUACCGAGAAAAGGGCAGAAUGAUUGCUAGUCACACGUGAAGCAAGAAAACCCCGGCAAUAAAGCUUGCAGAAUGAGUGGCUGAGGCUUGAAAAUAAAUGGUGGAAACAAUAGUGGACAAUCUUUUAAAGAAUGGCACAUUGCCAAUGCUCCUGAUGGCACAGAAGGUGACACCAUGCAGAAAAUCAAGGCUCUGAGUCAAAGAGGGUUUCAGAAAAAUUGGACUCUGAAUGUGAAGAAAUCUGGGGACUAUUUUAGCCAAUUUGUUUUGCCUAUAAUUUCCUUUUAUGCAUGCAAAAGAGCAAUUCUGAC